CCACAUCAAAAAAAAAAAAAAACAAAACAUAUCAACGUAGUCUAACUCCAAACCGAGCGUUUUCCGCUCCAUAACUCCACGUUUCCGUCAAUUCUUAGGAGGAGACCAAAAAAAUUUGGCCGCAGCCGCCAUUGAUGUUCAUCUUUCCUCAAACUCUAUUCUUUGCAUUAUAGGUUUAAAGGUAUUCUCUGCACCCCAAAUUUAUCUAAAUCUUAGCAAAUUCCAAUUUUUUGGAUUUUAACUUGUACUAUUUUCAAGUUUCAAUCAUAAACUCUAAUACCCAUUUCCCUAAACUAGCAUGAAACAUCUAGAUUGUUGUUUGAUUACUCAUUAUUGAUUGAAUAUUACGGAGUUAUGCUUCAAAGAUUCAAUCUUUAUCUUAGACCCAUUAGUUGGUUUUCAGUAGUUGCUCAUAAUCUCUCUUUUUCUUCAUCUAGUACUUCAAUUAGUUGUUCUAGCAUUAAUCAUGGUAAUAAUAGUUGUGAUAAUGGUAGUUUCAAUGCUAAAUCAAGGAUUAAGCCUAAGUUGGAAGAACCAGCUUUGAUUAAACUAAAAAAAGAGAGAGACCCAGAUAAAUUGUUUAAAAUCUUCAAGGAAAAUGCUCAUAAUAGUCUUGUAAUUGAAAAUAAGUAUGCUUUUGAGGAUGUGGUUUCGCGGUUAGCGGGUGCAAGGAGAUUUGAUUACAUUGAGCAUUUGCUUGAGCAUCAAAAGUCCUUGCCUCAAGGUAGGAGGGAAGGUUUUAUUGUUAGGAUUAUAAUGUUGUAUGGAAGGGCAGGUAUGAUUAAACAAGCCAUUGAUACAUUUUAUGAUAUGCACAUGUUUGGUUGUAGAAGGACUAUCAAAUCAUUCAAUGCUACAUUGAAGGUAUUGACUCAAUCCCAUGAUUUGGGGGCUAUCAAGUCAUUUAUUGAAAAAGUUCCUUUAGAAUUAGGGAUCGAGCUAGAUGUGAUAUCGGUCAAUAUUGUUAUUUGUGCUUUUUGUGGGAUGGGGUUUUUGGAUAAGGCUUAUAGAGUGAUGGUACAGAUGGAAAAAGCGGGCAUAUCGCCUGAUGUUGUCUCGUACACAACUCUUAUAUCAGCUUUCUACAAGCAUGAUCGUUGGGAGGUUGGAAAUGGUUUGUGGAAUCUCAUGGUAUAUAAAGGAUGUUAUCCUAAUGUUGCUACAUUUAAUGCUAGAAUUCAGUUUUUGGUGAAUAGAGGGCGAGCGUGGCAAGCCAAUGACUUGUUGGGAUUGAUGGAAUAUUUAGGGAUGCAACCAGAUGAGGUUAGUUAUAAUUUGGUAAUCAAGGGGUUUUGUAGGGCGGGAUAUUUUGAUAUGGCCAGAAGGGUAUUUUCCGCCUUACAUGGUCGGGGUUACAAAGCUAAUGUUAAGAUUUAUCAAACUAUGGUACAUUACUUAUGCAAGGCAAGAGAUUUUAAUUGUGCAUAUAGCAUGUGCAAAGAAUGCAUGAAAAAAAAUUGGGUAUUGAAUGUAGAUACCAUUUAUACAUUACUUAGAGGUUUAAAGAGUAUAGGAGAAGUACAGAAGGCUAAUAUGAUUUUAAGUUUGUGUCAAAGAAGAAAUCCGCCCUUUUCUGCGAGGCAGCUAGGUGAAUUUAAAGCUAUAUUAGCAAAACAUUGAAGUUCGAUGAGACGAAGUAUACAUAUCAAAUCACCUUCUACUUUGUCCACUAAUUAACAUGCCAUUACCCGACUGUCAAGUGGCUCCUGCCUACGCAGGGGACUCUGUUCAUUGAGUGAUUAUUGUCAUACACUGUUUCGUUUAUGCUGAGAGGGUUUGCAGCAUAAGAGGCUUCAUGGGCUCAAAAAAUCUGAGGGACAAUAGUUAUCUGGGCGUUCGUGUUUUUUCAGCGUCUGGUUCGGGUUUCACCUUUCGAAUGUGGUAAGUUGCUGCAUUUGCCUUGCUGAACAAAUUUCUCCAUAUUGCUUAUAAGGUUGAUUGCAUGGAAAAUCAUGCUAGUUUUUCCCAUUUUGACAGGAAUAGACGAUUCAAUACUAUUAAUAGUGAGAAAGAAAUUAAUAUUUUUUUAUUCACUAAUUUGUAUGGUAAUGGUAACUUGAUGAACUUUUGUGCUACACAUAUCUCUAUGUCUCUUACUACUAAAUCUUUCUUGUAAUUUUUUUAUAUUUGUUAAGCUGAGAGUAACAUCUGUUUCCAGAUUUGGGAUUUACCAGUAGCAACAAUAUGCAGCUAUAGAAUUUAGCUGCUAUUCUAGCUAAUAAAUGAUUAUUCUUUUUCUUAUGCCGGUGCUUUUCUGCUUUCUCUUAUAUUUGGUACUGAUAGAUGUAGUUAAGCUAAGGUCAACCACCAUUGUGAUUAAGGAUAAUAUAUCUAUCUGUUGUUAUGAAACGAGGUUAGGCUUGAUAUUGAGACCUUAUAAGGCAUUGCUUCCAAAAUUUUUAUAUAUGAUUUGCUACUAGGAGACUGAAUGCAGCUUGCACUACAAUCUGGUUUCUCUCUUGUGGAACCAAAUUAUCAUUGAGUUUGGGCUGAAGUGUGUACUUGCUAAUUUGCUGUUUUUUGUGUUUCGUCAAUCUGGGGUGUUUCUUUUCUUCUAACAUUUCUUUGGAAGAAGGGUUAUGUAUUUAGUGUUGAUAGCUGCUCAUACUAAUCAGUGAAUACUAUCAGUGAAUUUAAAGGAUUUCCAUUAGCUUAAAAUAAGAAUUAUAACCAAUUAAAAAAUGAGAAUCUUUCUUUAGUAUGAAUACUAUGAAUAUGGUGAUGUACGUGUCCUUGUGAAUGGAACAACUGGGGAAAUGCGAGGCCUCUGAAAAUAGAGGUCUUCCAGUGUAGGUCAUGAUGUUCAUGAAAUUCGAAGAGAAGGAAAAUCUGGCACUAAAGAAGAGGAAUUUUAGUGUUGAUGGUGGAUUGGUGGUAAUGUUAUACUCGUUGAUGUUGAUGAUGCCACAGUCACUAAUAGUGUCAAUGCCAGAGGGCUGAAUUGGUGUUAGCUGGAGAGGGUGAGGGAAAUAGUUGAUUAUAUGACGGAAAGUUGACAAUAUCCUCUCAUCUUCUUAUUUGAGUUAAGAUUUGGGAAAGAUUUCAUUUUUAAAGAAGACAGAACAUUGUGGGACUACUUGUUCGAUAUUUACGUGUAGGUGUUGUAAGUUGUAGCUUGUGUUUUUGUCUCCUUUAUAUUCCAAAGAGUUUCUUUUUCCUUCCAGGGUGAGUGGGUGACUUAAAAAGUACCUCAAAUCUAAAAAUCUGGAAAGCUGCUUCAUAAAAGGAAAACAAAUUUCUGAUUUUUAAUUCAAGAUUACCUUUUCUGAAAUAAAAUGGGUUGAAGAUGCAUGUUGGAGAUUGCAUACUGUCUUCUUGGGGGUUUUGGAGAACUUAGAUACCUUUUGCUAUUUAUGUGCAGUAAUUUAGCCAUCCUAGCCACCUAAGUGAAUAUUUUCUUGCAUGGGACAAAGUACAUCAAUUUGAGUUUGAAAUUUUUUCCCCUAGACGUAGGAAAAGAUGUAACAUUAUAUAUUGGUAGCCUGGAGGUAUCGCUAAAAGUUGCAUUUUUGAAAAUUCAAAAUAUCUAAGAUAACUUGUAGCAAUCAAAAUAUGACGUAAUGAAUUAUUGUUUCUUCUCGUAAAAUUUAAGUUAUCAAUACAACUGAUAUGGGUUGCUACACUUUUUCCCCUCUGUUCUAAGGAAUAUGAAGCUGCAUGUGGUAUCCAUCUCCCAUCCUUGCAUAGGAAGUAAUAGCCUGUUUUGGCUGUCCCUAUUUUGUUUCUGCUAAACUUUCUACAAGCAUAAAAUGAAAGGGCUUCAGUCACAAUUUUUGAUAAGUUUCAAUGUUAUAGAUUCUUCUUCUAAUUGAUUCAUAAUUUUUUUUAUCUUGUAUGAAAAUUGUUAUACAAUGGAGAAAUACAACACUUUUUAACUGCAAUUCGUUCUCCUGAAAUGUUGAUAGCAACAUAGAAACUGCGUUUGAUCAUGGAAAUGCCAAGCUUCUUAUUUUUUCACUCCCUCUCUUGUUGUCUCUUGUAGGGCUACUUGGAGGAAAUGGGUCAAAUCCAGCGUUUGUAUUUUUAAAUCCCAAAUAUCUUCAUUAUUUUAUUCAUUUUCAGAGUAAAUAGUUUCAGAUUCUAUAAUCAUAUAAUUGGUCAUAUCCUCUAUUGUGUUGGCUUGCAAAUUAAUGACUGAUACUAGAAAGAUUUGGAGAGAAAAACUACUUCACGUUUUAUUCAAAAUAAAUCCUUCUAAUACAGGAAAGAUUUGGAAAGAACCAAUCUCCCCUCCCCUCUCCUUCCCUUCCCUUAACAUUUUAUCCAAACAUAGUGUAAAUUGCUUUGUGAUUAAAGGCUUAUGCUAGACAGAACUGCUGGUUAUAACAAUUACUGACAUUAUGACGACUUUAUCUAUGCCUCCUCUCCCUAUAUGUUAAGCUUGAGAUGAUGAAUCUAGUCAUCGUAUCAGCAAACACUGCAGAAUGUUUAUCACACUUUUCUAGAGGAUAGGAGUUUUCCUAUGUGUAAUUGUGCUUAAUAAUUAGAUAGAACCCGUGCGAUGCACGACUUUUGCCAAAGGCUAAAAGUCAAAGAAGAAUAAAGAUGAGUUGGCUAUGUAACUGGCUCUGUACAGGAUAUAGUCUUAUCUCUAGAGCAUGAUAUGGCGUUCCCUAUGUUAUUUGGACUUUAAAAUUAACUUAAGCACACGUGUUGGAUCCUUAACACUUGGACGUUAGUACGACCCUAUGACACUUCAUUUAGUCUCAUAUUGUUUUUCACAAAAUAGUCAAGCUGGACAUAAGUAUCUGAGUCCAAGUAACAUAAUAUGUGCCAAUAGCUAUUGUUAUAAAGUUUUUCUGCAGUCUUGUGGAAAAAAGUCUAAAUUUUUUUCCCUUCCAGAACUGUUAGGAUUAAGGCUUUGAUAUUGUUAAAUGUUGCAUAUUUAAUGAUUUUUCAGGUUUAUUUUACUGUCAAGAGUCCCUUCUUGCUGCUAAAGAUUACUAAUGGUUGCCAACACUACCAGAUAGAAAAUUUUGAAUGCAUGACUCAUGGAACUCUUGAUGGGAGUUGAUUGUUAUCUGCUUGUUUAUUCUUGUCUAACAAGAAUUGAGGAAGAUAGUAAUAACAUGUUAUUAUACCUUUACACACUUUCAUUACAAUUACAAUUACUAUAGCUUUGUUGGAGUGCUGACACUGCUCUGUUUUUUUUUUUUUUUUUUUUUCUUUCUUGGUAAUCUUUAAGAUGGGUGGUCUUUAGAUAAUUCUACUAAAUUUCCGUCUUUCAUUUUGUUCGUUAUUCUAGUCAAGGGUUUCAAGUCUAGAACACUUGGUUCCUUUAGAAAUUUGUGGAAUGACUUGAAUAUUUCUGGUAACUUAUUUGUAAUGACUAACAGCUAUUUCCAUACCUUUAGAGUUCCAGUUUUCUGCCAUUUCUAUGUCGCUUUAUGUUUCAGAAAUCAAAGAGGAAGUCAAGUUUUCUGCUUCAAAAUUUUGGAUGUUGAUAGGGUACAGCUACUACUUGAUGAAGAAAUUUCACAAGCAUUUAUUUUUGUCACUGGUUCCAACGGCAUCUGACACUGGAGAAUGAAGUGUUCCUUUCUGAAUCUGAAGAAGUAUGUCGAUAUAAAGAUCUCAAACUUUUAAAAGGGUUGAAUUUGGUGAUUCUGAGUUCAUCAAAUAUAUGAUUGGAACGGCUUUCUGGAAUUGUUAAAUAUCAGGGUUUAAAUAUGUCACCUAGAUAACUGAAGAUGGUGGAUAGUUGAAAGCUGAUGGCUGAUCUGUAUUACAUUUCAUUGAUCCAGUGAUUCAGAACUCAUUUUUCGAGUGCCUUUUACUCGAUCGUUUCGCUUCAGUGUUCUGAGCAAGC